CUCCUUUUCCAAGUAAAGUGAUAAAUUGAAUCAUGUAUAGAUUCCACAAGCACGUGUCUAGACUUCAUGUGCACAUGAGCAUGCAUUUGUAUGCAGUCAUGCACAUGCAGUGGCAAGAAGAUAAUGAAGACAAACAAAGCAUCCUCUGUGCCAAACAGUGGCAGUAGGGAAAAGGGAAUAGUGAAUAACCUAAUAACACCAUGCCAGAAAUGUGAGAGGAAAAUAUCUAAAAAGGGAAAAGGGAAAGCUGAUUGCUGCAUGUGCAACUCUCAGAGAGAAACAGAUCGUUAGUUGAGAGGUAGGAGACUUGCUGGAGUACAGUAAAUAAUAUAAUAAUCGUCCAACAUGACAACAAUAUUCAUCUUCUUAAUUUCAGCCAUUUAAAGAUAAAUUUCUAGGAUAUCUCAGAUGCUUAUCUUUGCAUGGGAUUGAAAGCCAAUAUAGUCUUCUUUCUUGAAUGACUCCAGAGGGAACCUAGAGGUUUACUUUAAACUAGACAACUCAAUUUCAUAUGGCUAAAGUUAAGUGAAAUUGAUCCCUUUUUUUUCCUAUCCAUCCCCUGCUACUGCUCAGACUCCAGUUGAAGACACUGUAUACUCAAUAACUCCAAGAGAGUUUCUCGUGAGCUAAUAAAGGAAGGAAUUUAUGAUUUCAGAAAAAGGAUAAACAUCAAGAUCCUUGCUCCCAACAAAUAACCUUGGAAAAGAAAAAAAAACAAAAACAAAAAAAAACAGAAAGCAGGCUGUGGGGGGGAUGCUACAUAGACAGAAGUCUUGAAAUAGAAAGUUGGUCCAACAUUUUUGUGAGAUGUCAGCAGUUUUUAACUGAGCUUUGCCUGGAGAUAUUCAACUGGUUGGAACUAAUCCAUUUCCAGAAGAGGUGAAUCAGUGUCUAGCAAUUCACUAAGACAGUUGCCCAAGUGCUGUUUGCUGAAAAUCUGCAUUUCAUUGCCUUCAUGAGGGUAGAGUCCACUGGCACGCACAAGUGCAUCCAAGGAGGCAGCCUCAAGGUCUCGUUUGAGCUGGGUAAUUUCUUCACAUGGAAUCAACCACAAGUGGAAACCUUUUGAAAAGACUCUGAUCAGAUCUGAGACAGCCACAGCAUUCCUGAAAGUGGAAAAGAAGACAUUAUGUUGGUUAACAGCAUUAAAGGAAACAAGAAGGAUGAAUGUUCUGUAAAUACCAAGUUACUGCAAGCUUUGCUGAAAUACGUUGCUCUGUGGAGAGGAAAAAUUCCAGAAAAGAGCCACCCCCAGGGAGAGGUUGCAGAGUGAAAUCCUCACCAAAGAAACAGUAAGGAUGGAACUGCAGGAAACAA